GUGGACCUUUACCACCCGCACGCGGUGCUCUCGCCGCCUGGACGCCACCCGGAAGAGACCUGUGCUUUUGGAGAACCCAGUUGGUAUGCGUGAGAAGCCCUAGCCAUAUGGAGAGGUCAUGUGUUGACGCCAGUCAGUUGCCUCAGUGAAGACCAGCCUUUGAAUCACUACAGCCAUCCCAUGAGACAUUAAGUGAAGAAGCCUCCAGAUGAUUACAGCCUUUAACUAUAUCAGGAAAAACAUUUUGUGCCCUACCUUUAUUGAGAGAUUAUUUUUAAAUGAUUGAAGAAGACAGGGAGAGACUGUACUCCUGAGAUGCACACAGCUGUAAUCUUCAGAAGACUACCCUUUGGCCAAACCUGCAUAGAGCUGGAGGUGCCAGGGAACUUGUGUCUCUCAAAGGGCAGCCUACAUCCAGUGACUGACCGGUGAGGAAGAGUGAAAGCCCAGCUCCUUUUCCUCAAGACAAGCAAAAUGCAGUAUGAUUAGCAACGCAGUCAUCUGACAAGUCCCUCAGCCACCAGGAGACCCACCAAAGGCUGUGAUGAUGGGGGCAAGGAAUGAUGUUCAGGAAAGGUCUGAAGCACAAGCCUUGCCUGGAAAGGUUAUAAAUGUCAACCAAUUUGAAGGUAUGGAAAAGGAGAGAGAAAAAUGGAACAAAUUUCAGAGAAGAGGCACAGCUGAUGAGAACAGCAUUCUUAUCAAUGAGGUUUUUAAAUAUCAAGUUUCCAUCACACUGAAAGGGAUCAGCUGUGAAUCUGUGGGACGGUUUCUUUCAUACUUGGCAUUUCCUGGCUCCUGACAGUUCCUUGUGAGUGACUACUGGACACCUGGGUUCCAUUUGGGACCCAAGGCUUUACAUCAUCUGUGAACCAGGUGGAGUGAACAGCAGAGCUGGCGUUGGAGGAACUUGAGAAUAGGUGAAAGAGACUCCACGGAGUUCUCAUUCUCUCAUUGUAGGAAUUCUAGAAAGUUACCUGGUUGCAAUAAAAAUGCCUACUGCUGCCCUUUAAACUUAAUUACUGCUGU